rnacentral:rRNA from 1 species
CACGCAGGCGGCUGGGCAAGUCUGACGUGAAAGCUCCUGGCUAAACUGGGAGAGGUCGUUGGAAACUGUCUGGCUUGAGGUAAUGAGAGGGGUGCGGAAUUCCCGGUGUAGUGGUGGAAUGCGUAGAUAUCGGGAGGAACACCAGUGGCGAAAGCGGCACCCUAGCAUUGACCUGACGCUCAUGUGCGAAAGCGUGGGGAGCGAACG